GAUAAAUGGAUAAGAUGUUAGCUUCUAAUUCCAAAAUUUUUGUACCAGUUUUGGAUAAGAUGUUAGUUUCAUAUCCAUUUCACUGAAUUUAGGCUCUAGAGAAACAUAUAUCCACCAAUACAAACCCAUUCCAUCGUUUCAGGUCUCAACUCAUGCAGCCCCGGCUGGGAGAAACCGGAGUGAGAGUGUUAAAAGACGGAAAAAAAAAAAAAAAAA
rnacentral:lncRNA from 1 species